UCUGUCUGCCGCAGACAUGAGAGGAUCAUGUUAAGUGUGUUCCGUAUGAGUGACUCUGUUUUCGGGAUAAAUAACUUGCUGAAGUCGACACGACACUGUUUCCCUGGAGGAGAAGAUGAGUGCGUGGGAAAUAAAAGCCGCGGGCCCGGUGUGGAGGAGUCGAGGCGGAGAAGACAGGCGCACAGUCCCUGAAUUAAGGAAGUUUCCGUCUCUUCACAGCUCUGAUGAAAAUGGCCGGCGGAGCGAGGCCUGAUUCCCGCACACAAUGACGCAGUCACUGCUCAUUACGCCGAGACUCGCUGAAAGUUCUCGCAGUGCGGGAAAACGACGCCAUUGUACCUGCCCUUACUAUGACUUACUAAGACCCACUAUGAGCCAGUAUGAAGGAGCUUCCGGUUCAUCCAUACAAACCUUGCAUCAGCAUUGAGGAGUUCAGGAGUCGGCAGAGAAGAAAGAGGGAGAGGCUGAUUGAAGCGGGACAGAUGACAUGGAUCCAUCCUUCCACAGCCAGGAGCUCACCGACCUGUGUGCCACACUUCAAAUAAGACUAGAGGCUACACUGGAUCUCACAGCUACACACCACAGACGUCUACACACCACAGACGUCUACACACCACAGACGUCUACACACCACAGAUGUCUACACACUGGGGCAGAUUCGGACAGAGUCCCACAAAGAACAUAUGACCCAGAGGCUGCAAAGAGACAUUUCAAGCGUCACCUGAUUAGCUUUUCGCUCGCUAGGCUAGUUGUGUUUGUACAAUAUUUGUGCUGUAUGUAAAUAAACCUUUGACUCAACAUAUACCUCGUUCAUGUUUUUUCUUCCCUGUACAAUAUGUUCACUUCAAGCAUCACAUGAAUGAAUGUUUAGUCUUAAUUAACUGCAUUGCUUUUGGUAAAGGCUUACUAAUACAUAAAGAUUUAUUAUAUAUAUAUAUUACUAGUAACAACUAUAUAUUAAUUUUUAUUAUUAAUAUUGUGUGGGAGGGGUUUACCCCACGUGUGUACUGCAAUGACCCAGGGUGACCAAUGGCAACACUUCUACCAGCCGAUCACGAGUGACUUUCCGGGUUGGUUUCCUCCAAUGGGGAAUCGAGAGAGGCUCAGCAGUGGCUUCGCCCUGAGUCAUAUGCUAAUUAGAUUACACCUGCUCUCCGCGGCGGCAGCUAGCUUCCCCCCCAGCUUCCACACACAUAGUCAGCAGGGACUCCCGAUACUAACUACUACCAAGUGUUUGCUUCUAACCUGUCGGUGUUUGAGUAACAGUGUCAUGAUAGCUGUGGAAUUAAAGUCGUGACAGCAUGUUUUUUCACAGUUACCACCGCAGUUAGCAUGGUGGCUAGGUCGCUAGCGCUGUUAUGAAAGUUCGUUAUAACCGUAUGUGAUUGUACACACAUGCCGUCAGGGCUCUAACCAGCCACCGUCAGCCGGACAACUCCGCUGGCUUAACACACUUGUCACAUUAAUCGUAGAAUUGUAGUUGUGUUUGGGUUUAUUGUGAUAUAGGAAAUGAAACAGGAAGUUUGAGGUCCGGAAAUGAUGUUAUUCCGAAAUACUGCCGUUAGCGGACCAAUCACAGCCAAGUGCUAUCCGUAGGCUCUCCGCCAUGCCGACGUGUAGUUAGAAAAAUCAGAGCUGCACGAAAAGCUCUCCGUGGAGCCGCGGAGAGGCACGGAGAGGGCGUUCCACGGCAAAGAAGGCGGUCCUAUCUGUCCGUGUCCGUCAAAACGGAGAAGCAUAAAUUGGCCUUUAGUCAGAACAACUAGGAGAAAACCCUGCAAGACACCUUCAGGACAACCUGAUGAAGGCUGGUACAAGCGCUUCAGUGGCAACUAUAAGACGUGCACUGAAUAAACAAGGACUUCCAAGACGCACUCAGCUCUUGACCUCAAGGAACAUCAAAAGUCUACUAGAAUAUGGCAGAAGGAAUUUGGAUAAGAAGAAUGAGUUUUGGGUGACAGUUCUAUGGAUUGAUGAAACCAAACUAGAACUCUUUGGACAUAUGGACCAGCGGUAUGUCUGGCAUGCAAAAGUCCAGGCUUAUGACAAUAAGGAUACCAUCCUCAAGGUCAAGCCUGACGGUGGGUCAUUGAUGAUGUUGGGUUGUUUUUCU